CCCUGGCAAUGGGAAUCAAGAAAUUAUUUUUACUUUUCUUUUCUUUUUUUUUUUUUUUUUUUUUUAAAUUCCCCUCCUUGAGGGCGCUCGGCAGAGCUUCCUCAUGAAGAAGAGCAGCAAGAAAGGCAGCCCGCAGGACGGUGGCCGCUGCCUUGCUCCCGGCUCUUGGAGCGUGGGUAACCCCUCCCCCCCAGGCCUGGGACCUGGCAGCCAAAAAGCAAGUGUUGUGUGUCGCGGCUGUUCAUUGUCACGACUCAGCCUCGAGCCACAAAUAACCUUCAGGGAUGUUCACAUCAAAUGACAUACUCAUUAAACACCGAGCCACGGGCGGCUAAUGCAAAAUACAGAGGACUGCGAAAUUGGUGGGAGUUGCGUGAACUGCUUCAAAACACUAACAAAAAAGCCUUCCCAGAGGUGAGGAGAUUAUGCCUAACCACGUUUGAGAUGCUGACCCCAGCAUGGUCCCACCCCAGAUCUUUGAAGGGCUCAGGCUGGUACGCCCUCCCCAAACAGACCUGAAACCCCAGCUGCUCACAGGACGUGGUCACUCUUGCCUUCUCCAAUGCACCUGAGAUGGACUUGUUCCUGCUGGUGACAGCACAGCACAAACCCAAUGUGAAACAUUUGGAACAGCAGCAGAAACCUAUUCCCAGCAGAGUGACCUAAAUGCAAGGCAACGCAGCCACAUCCACAUGCUCUCCUCUUGCUCUUGGGCACCACGUCCCUCACCUCUUUUUUCUUCACAGGUCCAUCAGGGGAAGGGGAGCAAGACCUCCCCUUUCUCCUUCUUUGUGAGAGGGAGUGCAGGGACCUUCCCAUAGAGGCAGGUUCCAGCAUACGGACAUUAUCUUCUCUGAGCUUUGAGCUGUGUAUGUUUGUGUGUGUGGAGAGCGAGCAGAUUUAAGACACAUUUUGUCAGUUUUUAUAUUUCCUAUCGGAUAGCUGCACACAGACAGGGUGGCUUCAUGCUCAGGGAGAGGGCUGUUACAGAUGCAUCCCCCCAGGGGCAGGGAGCUGGGGGGCAGCUGUCGAUAUGCAGGUGAUGGUGACAGGGAGCACCAGGGGGAAGAUACAGGAUUUAUUUCCUUUCUUUCUCUUCCUGCUUGCUCUUCCACUGGGUGGGAAAAAUCUUACUCUCAGCACAUGUUUCUUCUGGAAAAAACAAACAAACGAACAAAUGAAAACACACACACACAAAACCUCCAGUUUUUGCUCAGCUCUAUAAGUUUUUUUCAGAUCAUGAGAUUUCCUUCCUUCCUUCCUUCCUUCCUCCCUUCCUCCCUACCUCCCUUCCUCCCUUCCUUCCUCCCUCCCUCCCUCCCUCCAUUUCUCUCUCUCUCCCUUUCUCUCUCUCUCUCCCUUUCUCUCUCUCUCUCUCCCUUUCUCUCUCUCUCUCCCUUUCUCUCUCUCUCCCUCUUUCUCUCUCUCUCCCUCUUUCUCUCUCUCUCCCUCUUUCUCUCUCUCCCUCUCUCUUCCCUCCUUUCUUUAGGUUUUUAUUUGUCUUUUUAAUUUUGAACUUCUUGUAUGCCAAAAUUUAUGCUGUAAAUCUGUGAGAGAAGGAUUCAUUUAUAAAAUAAAUGUGGAAUACUUACCUCAUUACUCAGUUCCAGGAUCUGGGGCUUUGAAGUUAAAACUUCCCAACCAAACAAGCAUGAGAUUUCCUGUAAAACUCAAAUCUCGUUUGACUUAAAAAUAUUAUUAUCGUCAGCAAAGUGACUGCAUAAUUACAUUUCUAUUUCUCCAUGUUUAGUUUGUGUUAAUGUCUGUAAGCGGGAUCUUCCCUCUUCAUUGACUCACAUACAUUUUUUUUUAAUUCUUGUUAGAGCUGCAAAAUGUGGUUACAGAGGAAUAAAAAUCUGCCUCCUUUGGAUUUCUUCAUAGUAAAUCAUUUGAAUUGGAGAAUAUUAUUGGUGAACAUGUAAGAACAUAUAAUUUAGUUUUCUUAUGCAGAAUUUGGAAAGUUGGCCAUUAGAAAUAAGUUGAUUAUAUUUUUUACAACAGUUAAAAAAAACUGUAUGACAUAACCCCCUAAACCACCUUUGUGCAAAGCCCCUUCUGAAUUACAAACGCACAUUAUUCUACUUCAGCUGACUUCAGUGGGGUUUAAAUAUUUGAGAAGUCACAUUCAAAUGAACUUUUUUAUCUAUAACAGCAAGAAUGAAAUUAUAGUCCUGCAACUGACAUAACAGAAAAAAUGUUUACCCAAAUUAAUAAAGAGAAGAAACUUCUCAGUUAAAAGCACAACUUUUCAGAUGUUUUAGAAGACUAGAAACAAUAAAAAUGUCUGUGGAAAUAUGGUCCAUAAUAUCCUUGAAAAACCCAUACAGCUGAGUCCAAUUUCUGUUAUUGAAUCCAGUCCUAAAAAAAGUGGUAAAGUUGAACUAUUCAUCCUUAAGUUAUUUUUAAGUAGUGUGCACAUAAUCUUAUUUCUAUUAAUGGAAUAGGUUUGUGAUUCUGGAGGUAAUAAGUCACAGUGUAAAUCCAUAAUAAACUUGUUUCUGAGCUAAUGAAAGGAUUGGAUAGCAGAGAAAUCUGUACAUUUUGUCUCUGUAUUUUUUUUUUUUCCAUUUUACCAUAUUCUAAUCCCUUCUACAAUGCCUGAUAAUAUUGAGCAAGAAUGUGUUAGGUGUCUGUGUGAGUCAGUGGGAAAUAUGGCUUCAGUAAUAAUUUUCCAUGUGCUUCUAUGUCAUUAGAAUAUUAUAAUGAAAAAAUAUAUAAUGAAUAUGCAGUAAAAAAACAGUUGUGGGAAACAGCCUCUUUUAGUCAGUAUAUCACUCAUUCAUAUGAGUAUAUCAAAUCACUCAUCAAUACUGAGAAAACAGUUUCUAACAUUUUCCUAUUGUGAAUAAGCAAUUUUUGCAUUUAAAGAGAACAAAAUAAUAUGCCAGUUCUAAAAUCCCCAAACUAAAAUGCACAGAUUGAGUGCAAGCCUAUUUAAAUGGAGGAACUGUUACUUGGGAAAUGCCAUAUUUUGACUUGAAGAUCACUACCACGGAUAUCUACUUUUCUAUAGAGUGAAGUCCAGUUUAAAAAAAAAAAACAAACAAAAAACCAAACCAAAACCAAUGAUCAUAUAAUUUAUUGUUUUAUUGUAAAACAUAUGCAUGAGAGGACAGAAUUAAGAUCCCACAGCCAAGAUUUAUGUAAUAGUCAUACUUCCAACUACUUCAAUUUGAACGUUAAUUAAGUUAAAUGCAUUUUUUUUUUUUAAGCCCCUGUUUUUUAAUAUUGCAACACACAAGAUUCCCUGAAUCUGGUCAUGUAGUGGAGGACCAAACUCCAGGUACCUUUGGAAUCAAAACUGUGAUGAUCAUGCCUCCAAGGCACAACGAAGGCUGAGCUGAAGCUGGGGGGGGGGUUGGGGAUUUUCUUGCAGAAAUCUGCUGUGAGGCACUCCUCCAUCUCCAGCUCGGUGCCAUAGCUUCUCUUCCAGUCUGUGAUUCCAGAUGCAGCUGGUUAGUAGAUCAUAGAUCAGGUCAGGCAAUUGCAUUUGAUGUGUGGGGGUCAUAUGUAAGACCCAUAUGCAAGCGAGAAGGCAGAGGAGAGAGAGAGAAAAAUAGCACUGCCUUGCAAAUGUGUGAGGCUCAAGCACAGUAAAAGUAAUAUGUGUUGGGAAUUAAAUGAUAUGAAAAGUGUGAGAUCUGAUAUUUCCUUAUGUGUCUUAUUUCCACAUAAAAAAAAAAAAAGAUAAAAAUAAAUUGUGCUGUAACUACCUCUUACCAUCUAUCAUCCUCAGUAAGAAUCCAGUAUUUUUUGUAUACACCUAAUGAAUGGAAUUGAAUGACAAAUAUAUUAGGUGGUGUCAGGCUGGGAGGAGCUGGGAGUGUGCUGACUGCUAGGACCAUAGCUUUACCUACGUACCUACGUACCUACGUACCUACGUACCUACCUACCUUCUUUUCACCUCAGUUGCCAAAACCAUCAGUUAUUUCUGGAAUAGCAUAUACUAGUGGUAGAGAAAACUUUUUUUCUCUUGUCUGACAGACAGCUGUCACAGCAACUAGCUGAUGAAGGGAAUAAACAAGGGCAGCGAUUGUGAAGUUAAAUUGAAGCUGGGAAAGUAAGUACCUAAUAUUUAGAAUGCUCAAGAGAAAUGUCGUGCAUUUAUGCACAGGAAAGAGGACAAGGAAACUACAUUUCUACCAAAAUCAGAGUUCUAUAGUGUUCAGCCAGGAUUUGUCUAUAUCCUGAGACACAGCUAUCAACUUGUAAUAUUAGUAUAACAUUGGCAGUGCCUGAGUCAAAGGAAAACUAUAUAUUUGUAAAAAAUAUUUUACCUUGAAAGUGAGACAUCACAUUACUGUAGCUCUACAGAAUUGCAUGUUAAACAUAUUAAUCUCUUCAGAUAUGUUAAUAAUCCUCGAAUCAAUACAUAAGAAUCUAUGAGCUGACUUUAAGGGAAGACAGUUGCCUUUAUCUAAGAAUGUAAAGGCAUUUAGAGGCAUAAUAGAUAAACCAUGAUGAGGUUAUAUAUAUACUUUCCAUCAAUUAAUUUAGGAUUUAUGCAUGCAACUGCUGUUAUAUUAAUUUAAAGGAAACCAGAAUCUUAAGAUAAACCAGUAUAUUCUUUAUCUAACUAUUUGGAGUUUAUUGCCAUAUAUUAAGAGAAUAGGACAGACUUCAUAGUAACUUGAGAAAAAGUCCUUCUAAAUAAGGUUUUGCAGGUUUUUUUUUGUGCCUAAAUUGUGAAAACUGAGGCUUUGCAGUGGUAAAUAGCUAUGUAUGGUGGGAUUUCAACAAGUGCAUUCAAGAGACGACCUUGAAGAGGAACCAGGAGAACUGUAAGGUGUUCAAGUCAUUUUCACCUCUGCGCUUUAAGUGCAUUUACAUUUUUACAUCAGUAUGAAGUGUAUUUUGGGUGAAAAUAAUCACUGUUAUCACUCAAGGUGAAUUCACUGGGAUGAGUUUGGCCUGGUGAGUUUAAUGGGAAUUUAACAUGCAAAAGAGAUCAUGUGUUUGAUGUGACUACAUACAAAUGCAGGUAAACAGAAAACCUUUGAAAUGCAUAAGAAAUAAUGAUAGCAGAUGGUUAAAAAUACAUAAUAACACUAAAAAAUGAAGACUUAUAAGUAUAUAUAUACUGCAGACGGAGCUGGAAAUGAGAUCCCUAUUUAAAGAUGGAUAACGUUUUCUUAUGUAAGAUUCUGGUGUGUUUCUUAUUGUUAGAUGUAAUCGUUCAGACAAGAAUUUUUAUGACUGAUGUCUGCCUCACACUGCGUGUCUUGCUUUUAUAUAAAAAGAAAGCUUCAGCAAAACAGUUUAACUGUUUCCAGGAAUUACAAUUGGGAGAAAUGAUUCGGUUUGCUAAUGUUAAAAAUCUGUGUGACCUUAUUGAAUAAACCAUUUACAGUAAAGGAUGCAAAUUUAGGAAGGAAGGUGUCUUGAGGCCAGAAAGAGAAGCAUUUUUUUUGUUUUCUUUAUAAAAAUAUAUACUCAUUUGGCAGUGUUGUCAUUGAAUAUACUUGAUAUAAUAAUUUGUGGUUUAAUUCUUUGUAGAUUUCAUCUGUAGUGUGCAUGUUCAAGGCUGGCAAUCUCCGAAUACAGCUAAGCAUCUCAUUCUCUAUAAUGGUUCCUCUUAUGUGGCUCUAACUCCAGAAGAGGUGGCAAGAAGACUGUCUUGUUUCUUCUCUCAUUCCUUCUCCAUUGCUGUUCACAUCACUUCAGGGCAGUCUGAAGAAGGACAGAUUAAUCAGCCGUGAAUAAGAGUCCGGGUUGGAAGCAGAGCUGGGACAGGUAUCUGCAGGAUUUAGGAUUUGAAGGAGGUGGGAACAGGCUCUGGAAGAGAAAAUAGGAAGAGAGGUGAAAACAGCUUGUGCAGAGGAAAUGAUUGGAGUAGAAUAUGACAGGUUAGAAAAGGCCGUAAAAAGUCCACAGCCACUAAAACACCUCAUCUUCCAGAACCCGGAGUAAGACCCAGGAUUUCUGUUUUUCAGGGUUCCUGUGCUACUUAUCUACGAUGUCACUGGCAGCAUAAAUCUCUUAUUCACCAUAGCAGUGGGUCCACAAUCACAAUUAUUCCUUUGUCUCAGGUGAUAAACUUAUGCUGGAAUUCAGAUUCCACCACCAUUGUCCACAAUGUGAAAAUUGGAAAGAUUUCAUAUGAUCAACAUUUUUGUUAGGCUAAGAAACAAAGAAGUGAUUAUCUGUUUUUCUUCCCUAGGCCCUGAAUCGUCCCGCUUGUCUGCCGGAUAGACAGAUCUCUGGGAACAAGGCACUGUUUCAAAAACUAACCUUUUCUUGUGGAUUUUCUAACUUUUCAACGUUUGGCCUUGCAGUCCCUAAUGUUUUGUUUAAAUUUGGUUCUUGAAUGCAGCAAGUGGUAUAAGAAAAUGAAACAUCUAGGUUUUCUGUCAUUCAUCAACCACAUUAUGAGUGUCUACAUAUAUAGCGGUGUGUGAAUGUAUGCCUGUAUGUAUCUUAUAUAUGCACAGAUAUAUAUUUAUGUUCUCUCUUCGUAUGUCUUUUUGUGGGCUGAAGAUGGAAUACAGAGUAGCAGAGACUUACAUAAUCCUAUAAACAGUUACUCUGGUGAAGUAUUUACCGUAUUUGAGUGAGGACUGUCAAAUCCAGCAUGAGAAUUUGUGACAUUGAUGUUACUCAGAUGUGAAAGUUUCUAGGAUUGCAGCUAUUGGCUACAGCUAUUUAGAGGCUUUCUGUUUCUUCCAGCAGUGUUAGGACUGCAAUAUGCUGUAACUAACUGAUUGCAGCAAGACUCCAUGCUAAAUUUAUAUAUACAGAGCUUCCAUAUCUAUAAAAAAAUGUAUGCAGAUAGCUAGUGUCAAUGCAGGCACCGAGCCAUCUGUGAGUUUAGAGUUACUGGUUUACAUUAAAUUUGCAAGAUUUGAGCCCUGGUUAUUUUGUUGUCUUCCUAAACGGGAAAGGGAUAUGGACAAAUCAAGGCUAAACUGCCAGAUGUGUUAGUCCUGCCAAGGCAUUUGUAGUGUAUCUAAUGCUUUCCUAGAGCCAGUUGGUCAGUCAGUCAGUGAUUCUCCCCUCAAAAAUUACUCCUAGGACAGAAAACAAACCUAAGAAUUUAGCAGGAGAAGGGGCAUGUAAGAGAGAAGAAUAUACUUUUCUCUUGUUUCCUUUCAGCUACUCCAGAGAAAUAAGACAUAACACUUAUGAAGUAACAAACUUCUAACCCUUGAUGCCAUCCAAGAAGUAGCAAAAUGAAAAAAAUAGGAAAUGACAUGAAGGAAAAUUUUAAGGAUCUCUCAGUUCCCAGCUAUGCAGAUUAAUAAUCACACCAGCAAGAAUUCAGAUCUCUGGUUUCCAUAUAUGUGUACAUAUAUCUCUGUUUCUCCUGGUAUUUUACACACAUAUCUGUGCUUAUAUGUGCACACACGUCUCUCUUCUAUAAUGGAGAUUGCUACUUAUGCAUGUCUGCAGGAAAGUUUGGCCUCAGAUGUUUCAUUUCAGAAUGUUUGGUAAUCUUUUAUUAGCAUUUAUGAUACCAAAAGAGUUAUUUCAAAGCAUUUUUGUAAUGAUCAAGCAACAGUACUAAAAAAGAUAUAUUAAACCAUAUGAAACCUGUCAAUCUAGGAUCAUGUAGGUAUCAGAUUAUGAGAGAAUCAUUACCUAAAAAUAAUGCCAUUUUUGUGAAAGCAAUUCAAACUUACAUGAACAGGCCUGAGCCUGGUACUUUCUGUGGCUUUACAGUAACAAAUUUCUCACUUUAAUGUGCUCCUGUCUUGCCAGUAGCCAUGUGUUGUACUUUUUUGGCCCUGUAUAAUGAGGUUUCAUAUGUUUUUAAAAAUGAUAAAAUGUUGUCUGGAUAUGGGAAAGAUUAAGAAAAUAAGCAAGACAAAUUUAGGGAUAAUUCCUCUGCCUUAUCGACUGACUCACCAUGCUGCACAGGACAGUGACCUCAGCUGCUUAUGCCCUCUACAGCUUUGUCUUAGACAGGGACAGAGGCACUGCAGUAUGCUGAAGGACCUCUGUUCUCCUACAACCCGCUGUUUGCCGCCACAUUACAUCAGGGGAUGUCACACCCAAGGGUGACGCUGGCUACUGCUGGCUGGAGUGUCUGUCUGUCCACUGAAAUUACAGGGAAAGAGCAGUCUUAGGCUGAGAAAAUCCCAUGCUUGUGAAAUAAUUGUACUAAGGUUUGACUCUAGGUAGGCAGUAUUUUGUUUUGUAGCAUUAAAAACGAAUGAAAAAGGGCACAGAGAGCCAAAGUGCAUAGGACUUCACACUAGACGUUUGGAGGAUUUCUUCAGGAUGCCUCAGGACACCCUCUUGGUUUGACAGAGGUCCAAGGGGAAUUAAGUUUUGUCUUCCCAAGACUAAGGAGCUCGUGUCUAACAUGGAGAACUGGGGGCUAGUUUGGGGAGCCAGGUGUCUGAUCCUGCUCCAUCUGGAGGGAUGGGGUGGUUGUGAGUGCAUCAUUCAUUUGCAGCAGUGUUGUGCUUGGUUUCACUUUCACCCUCCCAAAUGCAUUUCUCUAGCAACCCCCUGCCCCAGGCAGCUGUUUAUUUUGCCUUUGCCUAUAAGCCAGCUUUUUUUUUUUU